rnacentral:rRNA from 1 species
GGUGGAGUAAUAGCCUACCAAGGCAAUGAUCUAUAGCUGAUCUGAGAGGAUGAUCAGCCACACUGGAACUGAGAUACGGUCCAGACUCCUACGGGAGGCAGCAGUGGGGAAUAUUGGACAAUGGGCGAAAGCCUGAUCCAGCCAUGCCGCAUGAGUGAAGAAGGCCUUUGGGUUGUAAAGCUCUUUUAGUGAGGAAGAUAAUGACGGUACUCACAGAAGAAGUCCUGGCUAACUCCGUGCCAGCAGCCGCGGUAAUACGGAGAGGGCUAGCGUUAUUCGGAAUUAUUGGGCGUAAAGGGCGCGUAGGCUGAUUAAUAAGUUAAAAGUGAAAUCCCGAGGCUUAACCUUGGAAUUGCUUUUAAAACUAUUAAUCUAGAGAUUGAAAGAGGAUAGAGGAAUUCCUGAUGUAGAGGUAAAAUUCGUAAAUAUUAGGAGGAACACCAGUGGCGAAGGCGUCUAUCUGGUUCAAAUCUGACGCUGAAGCGCGAAGGCGUGGGGAGCAAACAGGAUUAGAUACCCUGGUAGUCCACGCUGUAAACGAUGAAUGUUAAAUAUGGGAAGUUUACUUU